rnacentral:rRNA from 1 species
UAACUACGUGGCAGCAGGCGGCGGUAAUACGUAGGGUGCGAGCGUUAUCCGGAAUUAUUGGGCGUAAAGAGCUCGUAGGCGGUUUGUCGCGUCUGUCGUGAAAGUCCGGGGCUUAACCCCGGAUCUGCGGUGGGUACGGGCAGACUAGAGUGCAGUAGGGGAGACUGGAAUUCCUGGUGUAGCGGUGGAAUGCGCAGAUAUCAGGAGGAACACCGAUGGCGAAGGCAGGUCUCUGGGCUGUAACUGACGCUGAGGAGCGAAAGCAUGGGGAGCGAACAGGAUUAGAUACCCUGGUAGUCCAUGCCGUAAACGUUGGGCACUAGGUGUGGGGACCAUUCCACGGUUUCCGCGCCGCAGCUAACGCAUUAAGUGCCCCGCCUGGGGAGUACGGCCGCAAGGCUAAAACUCAAAGGAAUUGACGGGGGCCCGCACAAGCGGCGGAGCAUGCGGAUUAAUUCGAUGCAACGCGAAGAACCUUACCAAGGCUUGACAUGUUCUCGAUCGCCGUAGAGAUACGGUUUCCCCUUUGGGGCGGGUUCACAGGUGGUGCAUGGUUGUCGUCAGCUCGUGUCGUGAGAUGUUGGGUUAAGUCCCGCAACGAGCGCAACCCUCGUUCCAUGUUGCCAGCACGUCGUGGUGGGGACUCAUGGGAGACUGCCGGGGUCAACUCGGAGGAAGGUGAGGACGACGUCAAAUCAUCAUGCCCCUUAUGUCUUGGGCUUCACGCAUGCUACAAUGGCCGGUACAAUGGGUUGCGAUACUGUGAGGUGGAGCUAAUCCCAAAAAGCCGGUCUCAGUUCGGAUUGGGGUCUGCAACUCGACCCCAUGAAGUCGGAGUCGCUAGUAAUCGCAGAUCAGCAACGCUGCGGUGAAUACGUUCCCGGGCCUUGUACACACCGCCCGUCAAGUCACGAAAGUUGGUAACACCCGAAGCCGGUGGCCUAACCCUUGU